rnacentral:rRNA from 1 species
CAGUAGCCACGGGAACACGGAGGAUCCAAGCGUUAUCCGGAUUUAUUGGGUUUAAAGGGUGCGUAGGUGGCCUGUUAAGUCAGGGGUGAAAGACGGUAGCUCAACUAUCGCAGUGCCUUUGAUACUGACGGGCUUGAAUGAACUAGAGGUAGGCGGAAUGUGACAAGUAGCGGUGAAAUGCAUAGAUAUGUCACAGAACACCAAUUGCGAAGGCAGCUUACUAUGGUUUUAUUGACACUGAGGCACGAAAGCGUGGGGAUCAAACAGGAUUAGAUACCCCCGUAGUCCCUGUCUCUUAUAC